GAUUUAAAGGUCUUACUUAGCAUGGGUUGCUAAGUUUUUCCACUAUAACUGUGUGACCUUUGAAUUCACAGUUUGUGGAAAUACUUAACCAUCCUAUGUUAUCUUUGCAACUAAGGAAA
rnacentral:precursor_RNA from 14 species